UACGGGGGGAGCAAGCGUUGUUCGGAAUCACUGGGCGUAAAGGGCGUCUAGGCGGUUCGGUAAGUGGGAUGUGAAAUGCCCGGGCUCACCCCGGGACCUGCAUCCCAAACUGCUGAGCUUGAGUACAGGAGAGGGUAGGGGAAUUCCAGGUGUAGCGGUGAAAUGCGUAGAUAUCUGGAGGAACACCGGUGGCGAAGGGGCCUACCUGGCCUGUUACUGACGCUGAAGCGCGAAAGCUAGGGGAGCAAACGGG
rnacentral:rRNA from 1 species